rnacentral:rRNA from 1 species
UACGUAGGGUCCGAGCGUUGUCCGGAAUUAUUGGGCGUAAAGAGCUCGUAGGCGGUUUGUCGCGUCUGCUGUGAAAUCUAGAGGCUCAACCUCUGGCGUGCAGUGGGUACGGGCAGACUGGAGUGGUGUAGGGGAGACUGGAAUUCCUGGUGUAGCGGUGGAAUGCGCAGAUAUCAGGAGGAACACCGAUGGCGAAGGCAGGUCUCUGGGCACUUACUGACGCUGAGGAGCGAAAGCGUGGGGAGCGAACAGG